rnacentral:rRNA from 1 species
ACGAACGCUGGCGGCGUGCUUAACACAUGCAAGUCACGGGGGCCCGCAAGGGCAACCGGCGAACGGGUGCGUAACACGUGAGCAACCUGCCUUUGUGUGGGGGAUAGCCGGGCUAACGCCCGGGUAAUACCGCAUACGGUCCGUUGGGGGCAUCCCUGGCGGAGGAAACCCUUUGGGGGCACAGAGAGGGGCUCGCGGCCUAUCAGCUAGUUGGCGGGGUAAUGGCCCACCAAGGCGGCGACGGGUAGCUGGUCUGAGAGGAUGGCCAGCCACAUUGGGACUGAGAGACGGCCCAGACUCCUACGGGAGGCAGCAGUGGGGAAUAUUGGACAAUGGGCGCAAGCCUGAUCCAGCAAUGCCGCGUGUGUGAAGAAGGUCUUCGGAUUGUAAAGCUCUUUCGACGGGGACGAUGAUGACGGUACCCGUAGAAGAAGCCCCGGCUAACUUCGUGCCAGCAGCCGCGGUAAUACGAAGGGGGCUAGCGUUGCUCGGAAUGACUGGGCGUAAAGGGCGCGUAGGCGGUGAACGCAGUUAGGCGUGAAAUUCCCGGGCUCAACCUGGGGACUGCGUUUAAUACAUGUUCGCUUGAGUUCGGAAGAGGGUCGUGGAAUUCCCAGUGUAGAGGUGAAAUUCGUAGAUAUUGGGAAGAACACCGGUGGCGAAGGCGGCGACCUGGUCCGAUACUGACGCUGAGGCGCGAAAGCGUGGGGAGCAAACGGGAUUAGAUACCCCGGUAGUCCUGGCAGUAAACGGUGCACGUUUGGUGUGGGAGGAUUCGACCCCUUCUGCGCCGGAGCUAACGCGUUAAACGUGCCGCCUGGGGAGUACGGUCGCAAGAUUAAAACUCAAAGAAAUUGACGGGGGCCCGCACAAGCGGUGGAGUAUGUGGCUCAAUUCGAUGCAACGCGAAGAACCUUACCAGGCCUUGACAUGCAUCUCUAAACCGGUGAAAGCCGGCGAGUGUCGAAAGACACAAUUUGCACAGGUGCUGCAUGGCUGUCGUCAGCUCGUGUCGUGAGAUGUUGGGUUAAGUCCCGCAACGAGCGCAACCCUUGUGAACUGUUGCCACCGAGCCGAGAGGCUCGAGCACUCUGUUCAGACUGCCUCGCUUAAACGAGGAGGAAGGUGAGGACGACGUCAAGUCAGUAUGGCCCUUACGGCCUGGGCUGCACACGUACUACAAUGCCCAGUACAGAACGAUCCGAGACCGCGAGGUGGAGGAAAUCUAACUAAAACUGGGCCCAGUUCGGAUUGGAGGCUGCAAUUCGCCUCCAUGAAGCCGGAAUCGCUAGUAAUGGCGCAUCAGCUACGGCGCCGUGAAUACGUUCCCGGGCCUUGUACACACCGCCCGUCACAUCAUGAAAGCCGUUUGUACCCGAAGUCG